GAUGAACGCUGGCGGCGUGCCUAAUACAUGCAAGUCGAGCGAACAGACGAGGAGCUUGCUCCUCUGACGUUAGCGGCGGACGGGUGAGUAACACGUGGAUAACCUACCUAUAAGACUGGGAUAACUUCGGGAAACCGGAGCUAAUACCGGAUAAUAUAUUGAACCGCAUGGUUCAAUAGUGAAAGACGGUUUUGCUGUCACUUAUAGAUGGAUCCGCGCCGCAUUAGCUAGUUGGUAAGGUAACGGCUUACCAAGGCAACGAUGCGUAGCCGACCUGAGAGGGUGAUCGGCCACACUGGAACGGAGACACGGUCCAGACUCCUACGGGAGGCAGCAGUAGGGAAUCUUCCGCAAUGGGCGAAAGCCUGACGGAGCAACGCCGCGUGAGUGAUGAAGGUCUUCGGAUCGUAAAACUCUGUUAUUAGGGAAGAACAAAUGUGUAAGUAACUAUGCACGCCUUGACGGUACCUAAUCAGAAAGCCACGGCUAACUACGUG
rnacentral:rRNA from 1 species